ACUCAAAUGAAUUGACGGGGGCCCGCACAAGCAGUGGAGCAUGUGGUUUAAUUCGAUGCAACGCGAAGAACCUUACCUGGGCUCGAAAUGUAGAGGACGACAUCAGAGAUGAUGUUUCCCGAAAGGGUCUCUAUAUAGGUGCUGCAUGGCUGUCGUCAGCUCGUGCCGUGAGGUGUUUGGUUAAGUCCAGCAACGAGCGCAACCCUUAUCGUUAGUUGCCAGCGCGUAAUGGCGGGAACUCUAGCGAGACUGCCUGGGUUAACCAGGAGGAAGGUGAGGAUGACGUCAAGUCCGCAUGGCCUUUAUGUCCAGGGCUACACACGUGCUACAAUGGUCGGUACAGAAGGCAGCAGAACCGUGAGGUGAAGCAAAUCCUAUAAAACCGAUCUCAGUUCAGAUUGGAGUCUGCAACUCGACUCCAUGAAGUUGGAAUUGCUAGUAAAGGCGUGUCAGCUACAACGCCUUGAAUACGUUCCCGGGCCUUGCACACACCGCCCGU
rnacentral:rRNA from 1 species